GACAGAGGGGGGCAAGCGUUGCUCGGAAUCACUGGGCGUAAAGGGCGCGUAGGCGGGAUGGCAAGUCGGUCGUGAAAUCCUUCGGCUCAACCGAAGAACGUCGGCCGAUACUGCCGUUCUUGAGGGAUGCAGAGGAGAUUGGAAUUCCCGGUGUAGCGGUGAAAUGUGUAGAGAUCGGGAGGAACACCGGUGGCGAAGGCGGGUCUCUGGGCAUCUCCUGACGCUGAGGCGCGAAAGCGUGGGGAGCGAACAGG
rnacentral:rRNA from 1 species